UUUAAAGUAAAAAAAAUAACUUUGUUUUUCUUUCAUUUUUCAGGAAUAUCUGGAAUUUGAAAAAGAAUGUGAUAAAAAAAGAAAAACAGAGAUGUGAUUAUGGAUAGUAAAUUGUACCGCACUUCGUUAAAGAUAAAAGAAGAGUAAUAAAACGAAACAUGAAACAC